AUUGAACGCUGGCGGCAGGCCUAACACAUGCAAGUCGAACGAGCGGCGGACGGGUGAGUAAUGUAUGGGGAUCUGCCCGAUGGAGGGGGAUAACUACUGGAAACGGUGGCUAAUACCGCAUACUAUCGGAUGCACCCAGAUGGGAUUAGCUAGUAGGUGGGGUAACGGCUCACCUAGCCGACGAUCUCUAGCUGGUCUGAGAGGAUGACCAGCCACACUGGUACUGAGACACGGCCCAGACUCCUACGGGAGGCAGCAGUGGGGAAUAUUGCGCAACGGGGGCAACCCUGAUGCAGCCAUGCCGCGUGAAUGAAGAAGGCCUUCGGGUUGUAAAGUUCUUUCGGUAGCGAGGCGUUACCUACAGAAGAAGCACCGGCUAACUCCGUGCCAGCAGCCGCGGUAAUUC
rnacentral:rRNA from 1 species